rnacentral:tRNA from 1 species
ACAAUGGUGGUUCAGUGGUGGAGUUCUCGCCUUCCAUGUGGGAGACCUGGGUUCAAUCCCAGACCAAUGCA